AGCACGUUAUGGUGGGCGACUCUAAGGAGACUGCCGGUGACAAACCGGAGGAAGGUGGGGAUGACGUCAAGUCAUCAUGGCCCUUACGGCCUGGGCUACACACGUGCUACAAUGGUCGGUACAAAGGGUUGCCUAGCCGCGAGGUGGAGCUAAUCCCAUAAAACCGAUCGUAGUCCGGAUCGCAGUCUGCAACUCGACUGCGUGAAGUCGGAAUCGCUAGUAGUCGUGAAUCAGAAUGUCACGGUGAAUACGUUCCCGGGCCUU
rnacentral:rRNA from 1 species